rnacentral:rRNA from 1 species
UAGGGAAUAUUGGACAAUGGGCGCAAGCCUGAUCCAGCAAUGCCGCGUGAGUGAAGAAGGCCCUAGGGUUGUAAAGCUCUUUCGGCGGGGACGAUGAUGACGGUACCCGCAGAAGAAGCCCCGGCUAACUCCGUGCCAGCAGCCGCGGUAAUACGGAGGGGGCAAGCGUUGUUCGGAGUCACUGGGCGUAAAGGGCGCGUAGGCGGUGCAUCAAGUCAGGCGUGAAAGCCCCGGGCUUAACCUGGGAAUUGCGCUUGAUACUGAUGCGCUAGAGAGCGGGAGAGGAUGGCGGAAUUCCCAGUGUAGAGGUGAAAUUCGUAGAUAUUGGGAAGAACACCGGUGGCGAAGGCGGCCAUCUGGACCGUUUCUGACGCUGAGGCGCGAAAGCGUGGGGAGCAAACAGGAUUAGAUACCCCCGUAGUCC